ACAAAGAUAACGCAGUAUUCUGCCUGACGCUAUGCACUUUCUUAUCAGAAUAAAUUUGGCUAAAUAAAGGAUCUUGGUAGGCUGUGGGCGAAGAAAGCAGACAAUUUUGUUGACAGGAAAAUUUUCUUAAAUUUGUAAUAUUGGUGAAAAAUUCGAGAAACGAAGCUUUUAUAGUGGUUGAAAUGCGAGAAAUGGAAUCGACCAGUGCCCCUCCCAAAAGAAAACCCGCAUAAUCAAAAACUGUACACUGAAUCUUCAGAACGAUUCUGUUCUGAUUACAUGUAUGGUGAAUAUUUGUAUUAUCGUCCUUUAAUACUUUUAUUUUUCACAAAUUUUUCGAUUCUUAAUGCGUCUUUGCUAGAAUUGAUAAAAAUUAUUUAUGGAAGAUAAGUUGAAUGAUCUCAAAAACCAUAUUGAGUAUAUCUGUACCUGAGUGUAUCAUGUGUCGUCACUAGAAGAAAAAAGAAGAAACAAAACUUACAACGUUUUUAAAAGUCGACGCGACGGAACCGAUACUGGUGCGCUCGGGGAACCUAAAGAAAGGAAAAGCCAGUCUGGAGUUGACAGUAAACGGUCAAAAUGGCCCUACAGUUGCAGGAUAUGCACCCAGGAGGUCAAAUUAUUUCGGAAAAAGGCCAAAUAAUUAUUGUUUCACGGCUUAAGCAGGCCUCCCGUAAGAAAAACAAGCAACGAAAUCGGUCGGCAGGAACCGGCCCCGGUAAUUUGUCGGAUCUUCACCGCCUCAUGCGACGUUAUUGGGUGCUGGACUUGUUUAAACCAAAACCAGGGGAUCAAAUUUUUCGGGAAGAUCCAUGGAAGCAACCGACUCCGAUUAUGUGCCAGGUCUUCUAAACCGUCUUUUACGUUGGAGCAAGAUAAGUUAGACUGGGAGGAACCUGUAACAUGCACUGUAUAAAUAUGUCGAAGAAAAAGAAAACACACGGAAGUUGAAGAUGGUCCCGAUUCUCGAGUUUAAAAGCAUCCGCUGAAAAAUAACUCUGAAAUUUGACCUAAGCAAGAAGAAAAUACGGAACCGUAGGCUCAAAUCAAGGCCGAGAUAAAUUUUGUGCUGGUAGCCGUUUGAAAUAAUAUCCCGCAUAAUCUAAUACCGUUCACCUAAUCGUCUAAAUUAUUUGGUUCUGAUUACAUUAAUCGUCCCGAUUCGUUUUGCGACUUUGCUGAUGGUGCCCUUGCUGCGAACGAUAAAAAAGAAUUUCUGAAAGAUACGAUUAAUGAUCUUAAAAAAAUUGAUAUUUUUGCGCAUAUGAAUGUAGUGUGUCUCGAGUGAGCGUCAGUGUGUCUCAACUUCUCGACGUUAUUGCAUCAUUUUAGGACCAAGCAAAAAAUUUUUUAAAAGAAGUGUUUUUUGAAUGUUAAAACCCGUGAAUCACAAUGAAAAAUGCGUGCUCAAACUACAUCGAUCGGUAGAGAAAACUAUGUCCCCAGAAAACAUUCCUAUGCACCUGGGAUCACAGUACCUGAGAAGCAGGUGCUUCAAGCAGCGAAAUAUCAAUGGCGGAGGUAGCAGGUUAUGAUUGUUUGUUCCGGAUGUUAGUCCGAUGGUUCCAUUUCGGCCGAAAGAAAAUCGCGGAAUAUAAUUUGCACGCCGGUCGCUUGAAGACUUUAAAAAACAUCAGCUUUCUUCAGAACCGCACUCGCACCACAGGUUCCAGCUCGGAAGGAACCAUAUUGCCUGUUCAGCAUUCGGAUCUGGUUUUCAGUAUCUCGUAACGAUGUCGGACAUCCAGGCGUUACAGGACAUGAGUUUACCAAAAGAGAAAACGUACGGAUAAUGGUCAAUAGUCUGAGUAGAAUUGAUCAUACCUAUCUAUGUUUUCUACAUUAAAAGAACCAGCUCCCACGAGGUAAUUUUGUUGGACAGUUGACGUUUUGCUAGCUGCAACUUCGAAGGAGGGUAAACCACCGGUGGCCAAAUCACUGCCCAAGUCGUUUAAAGCGUGAGCCAUUUGGGGCUACCUUUCUCUUCCAUUCUUCAUAUACGUAACUAUUUUUAAACAAUUUUUACUCGUUCUAGUCUUUAUCAUCCAUCAUCUCCAUCUGCAAUCACCUCGAUGUAAACAAACUUGAAUCAUCAAAAAGUGAAAAGUGUUAGAACAUAAAUGUUAAAAAUUAAUUUGUGUUUUUCAUAAGAGCAAUUGCAAUUUUUCGUUUCAUAGUUGAAUUCAAGAGACACGAACGCCACAAACGUGGUAAAGUCUAUAAUAAGAGGAAAACAAAAUAGUUGAAUUCAAAAUCAGAAUUAAUUUAAGAUAUCAGGAUGUUCAAUUCAUGUUUGGAAGAUAAUUUUCUAAUUAAUUUAAUUUCUAAUUUCUUAAUCAAAAUCCGUAGACAAAUUAAUAUCCAAUGUUGUUUGUCCAACAUUUGAAUUUAUUGUUCCGUUGUUUUUUUAAUUGGUAUACUAAAUAGUGAUAUGUAUCAGUUCUCUUUAAAAUGUUUUUGGAAAUUGAUAGAUAAAAAAAUGACUAGGAAGUACAGUUUAAAUUUCCAAACAUUACUAAAAGUUUAUGUAAAACAUUGCAGGAACAGUUUAUGAACGUAUAAAUAAUGCAAACGAGUUUUCUAGGCCGAUCUAAUCAUGCACGUUUGCAUCUUAUGAAGUUUUCAAAUGUAAACCAAAUUUUAAAAUAUUUACUACUUAUGAAACGAAAGGAAAUAAGAAUGUAGAAUUAA